GCUCAUAUGCCGAUGCCCUAAGGCCAUCGUUAGAGAAGAUAUGACGGCGUUGAAGAAGCUCGAUCUGAUCUGACCGUGCGUUCUCCGGAAAUGUCCUACGCCGUGCAGCCGGCGAAGCUUAGCUUCGAAGAGCCGAGGAUGAGCUCAUCGAAUUCGCAUCACCCUCACCUCUAAGAACGCCAAAACCUUCAGAAGGGUACGUACCUUGUGAGAUCUCUGCCGUGUUUGUUUUUGUCGACGAUCGCUGGAUCUAUUGUAGUCUAUCUUGUUGUGUUUCCUCUGGGCGAUAACCUUGUGAAGGGAACAAAGGACAAGAGUCUCAAGUUAAGGGCCCCGUGAUUUUGCCAACCAAGGUCCUCUAUAUCACCACGAGGAAGUGGUUGUACCCUUGAGUGGUUUGGCCGUGGAGAUGAUGAUAAAAAUAUGGUAAUUUGACACAGCUUUCUAUGAAGUCUCAAAAUCGAGCUUUUUAAAACUUAUGCCAUGUAUGAUGGUUGUCUUUAGUACUGUUUUACCGUAGGAACUGCUUUGUUAUUUCUCUUUUUUCAAUAUUAGAAACGAAAGGUUAUUGGUUCUAUGAUGCCUUCGAUGAGUUUCUCUAGGCUGUACCCUUGAGUGGAUUGACUGUGCAGAUGAUGAUAAAAUUAUGGUAAUUUAACACAGAGAGCUUUCUAUGAAGUCUCAAAAUCGAGCUUUUUAAAACUGAUGCACAGUUUGCUCAUCUAUGAUGGUUGCCUUAGUACUGUUUUAUUGUAGGAACUGCUUUGUUAUCUGACUAACUUCUACAAUUUUUCUUCUUUUAAAUAUCAGAAAUGAAGGUUUUCUUGGUUCUAUGGUUCUUUUGAUGUGGUUCUGUUAAAUUGUACCCUGUGUGAUUUGACUGUGCAGAUGAUGAUAAAUCCUAGUUAUUUACACAGAGCUUUCUAUGAAGUCUCAAAAUCGAGCUUUUUAAGACUGAUGCACAGUUUAUUCGUGUACGAGGGUUGUCUUUAGUAAUGUAUUAUUGUACUGAUGUGGUUCGGUUAGGUUGUAUCCUUUUGUGAUCUAUGAUAAACACAGUAGUUUAGCACCAAGAGCUUUUUAUGAAGUCUUAAAAUUGAGCUCUGUAAAACUGAUGUGCAGUUUCCACGUCUAUGAUUAUGAUAUCUGUUUUGUUA